rnacentral:tRNA from 2 species
GCGGUAGUGGCCCAGUGGUACGGCACCUUGUCGCCAGCGAGGACUCCGCCGGUUCGAUUCCGGCUUACCGCA